rnacentral:rRNA from 1 species
UUAAGUUAUUAAGGGCGCACGGUGGAUGCCUUGGCACUAGAAGCCGAUGAAGGACGUUACUAACGACGAUAUGCUUUGGGGAGCUGUAAGUAAGCUUUGAUCCAGAGAUUUCCGAAUGGGGAAACCCAGCAUGAGUUAUGUCAUGUUAUCGAUAUGUGAAUACAUAGCAUAUCAGAAGGCACACCCGGAGAACUGAAACAUCUUAGUANCCGGAGGAAGAGAAAGAAAAUUCGAUUCCCUUAGUAGCGGCGAGCGAAACGGGAAGAGCCCAAACCAACAAGCUUGCUUGUUGGGGUUGUAGGACACUCUAUACGGAGUUACAAAGGACGACAUUAGACGAAUCAUCUGGAAAGAUGAAUCAAAGAAGGUAAUAAUCCUGUAGUCGAAAAUGUUGUCUCUCUUGAGUGGAUCCUGAGUACGACGGAGCACGUGAAAUUCCGUCGGAAUCUGGGAGGACCAUCUCCUAAGGCUAAAUACUCUCUAGUGACCGAUAGUGAACCAGUACCGUGAGGGAAAGGUGAAAAGCACCCCGGAAGGGGAGUGAAAUAGAACCUGAAACCGUGUGCUUACAAGUAGUCAGAGCCCGUUAAUGGGUGAUGGCGUGCCUUUUGUAGAAUGAACCGGCGAGUUACGAUUUGAUGCAAGGUUAAGCAGUAAAUGUGGAGCCGUAGCGAAAGCGAGUCUGAAUAGGGCGUUUAGUAUUUGGUCGUAGACCCGAAACCAGGUGAUCUACCCUUGGUCAGGUUGAAGUUCAGGUAACACUGAAUGGAGGACCGAACCGACUUACGUUGAAAAGUGAGCGGAUGAACUGAGGGUAGCGGAGAAAUUCCAAUCGAACCUGGAGAUAGCUGGUUCUCUCCGAAAUAGCUUUAGGGCUAGCCUCAAGUGAUGAUUAUUGGAGGUAGAGCACUGUUUGGACGAGGGGCCCCUCUCGGGUUACCGAAUUCAGACAAACUCCGAAUGCCAAUUAAUUUAACUUGGGAGUCAGAACAUGGGUGAUAAGGUCCGUGUUCGAAAGGGAAACAGCCCAGACCACCAGCUAAGGUCCCAAAAUAUAUGUUAAGUGGAAAAGGAUGUGGCGUUGCCCAGACAACUAGGAUGUUGGCUUAGAAGCAGCCAUCAUUUAAAGAGUGCGUAAUAGCUCACUAGUCGAGUGACACUGCGCCGAAAAUGUACCGGGGCUAAACAUAUUACCGAAGCUGUGGAUUGUCCUUUGGACAAUGGUAGGAGAGCGUUCUAAGGGCGUUGAAGCAUGAUCGUAAGGACAUGUGGAGCGCUUAGAAGUGAGAAUGCCGGUGUGAGUAGCGAAAGACGGGUGAGAAUCCCGUCCACCGAUUGACUAAGGUUUCCAGAGGAAGGCUCGUCCGCUCUGGGUUAGUCGGGUCCUAAGCUGAGGCCGACAGGCGUAGGCGAUGGAUAACAGGUUGAUAUUCCUGUACCACCUAUAAUCGUUUUAAUCGAUGGGGGGACGCAGUAGGAUAGGCGAAGCGUGCGAUUGGAUUGCACGUCUAAGCAGUAAGGCUGAGUAUUAGGCAAAUCCGGUACUCGUUAAGGCUGAGCUGUGAUGGGGAGAAGACAUUGUGUCUUCGAGUCGUUGAUUUCACACUGCCGAGAAAAGCCUCUAGAUAGAAAAUAGGUGCCCGUACCGCAAACCGACACAGGUAGUCAAGAUGAGAAUUCUAAGGUGAGCGAGCGAACUCUCGUUAAGGAACUCGGCAAAAUGACCCCGUAACUUCGGGAGAAGGGGUGCUCUUUAGGGUUAACGCCCAGAAGAGCCGCAGUGAAUAGGCCCAAGCGACUGUUUAUCAAAAACACAGGUCUCUGCUAAACCGUAAGGUGAUGUAUAGGGGCUGACGCCUGCCCGGUGCUGGAAGGUUAAGAGGAGUGGUUAGCUUCUGCGAAGCUACGAAUCGAAGCCCCAGUAAACGGCGGCCGUAACUAUAACGGUCCUAAGGUAGCGAAAUUCCUUGUCGGGUAAGUUCCGACCCGCACGAAAGGCGUAACGAUUUGGGCACUGUCUCAACGAGAGACUCGGUGAAAUCAUAGUACCUGUGAAGAUGCAGGUUACCCGCGACAGGACGGAAAGACCCCGUGGAGCUUUACUGUAGCCUGAUAUUGAAAUUCGGCACAGCUUGUACAGGAUAGGUAGGAGCCUUUGAAACGUGAGCGCUAGCUUACGUGGAGGCGCUGGUGGGAUACUACCCUAGCUGUGUUGGNUUUCUAACCCGCACCACUUAUCGUGGUGGGAGACAGUGUCAGGCGGGCAGUUUGACUGGGGCGGUCGCCUCCUAAAAGGUAACGGAGGCGCUCAAAGGUUCCCUCAGAAUGGUUGGAAAUCAUUCAUAGAGUGUAAAGGCAUAAGGGAGCUUGACUGCGAGACCUACAAGUCGAGCAGGGUCGAAAGACGGACUUAGUGAUCCGGUGGUUCCGCAUGGAAGGGCCAUCGCUCAACGGAUAAAAGCUACCCCGGGGAUAACAGGCUUAUCUCCCCCAAGAGUUCACAUCGACGGGGAGGUUUGGCACCUCGAUGUCGGCUCAUCGCAUCCUGGGGCUGUAGUCGGUCCCAAGGGUUGGGCUGUUCGCCCAUUAAAGCGGUACGCGAGCUGGGUUCAGAACGUCGUGAGACAGUUCGGUCCCUAUCCGUCGUGGGCGUAGGAAAUUUGAGAGGAGCUGUCCUUAGUACGAGAGGACCGGGAUGGACAUACCUCUGGUGUACCAGUUGUCGUGCCAACGGCAUAGCUGGGUAGCUAUGUGUGGACGGGAUAAGUGCUGAAAGCAUCUAAGCAUGAAGCCCCCCUCAAGAUGAGAUUUCCCAACUUCGGUUAUAAGAUCCCUCAAAGAUGAUGAGGUUAAUAGGUUCGAGGUGGAAGCAUGGUGACAUGUGGAGCUGACGAAUACUAAUCGAUCGAAGACUUAAUCAA